rnacentral:rRNA from 1 species
CAGAGGCCCCAAGCGUUACUGAGAAUCACUGGGUUUAAAGGGUGCGUAGGUGGCGCGUUAAGUCCGUUGUGAAAUCCCUUGGCUCAACCAAGGAAAUGCUUCGGAUACUGGCGUGCUUGAGGCUAGUAGGGGUCACUGGAACUGACGGUGGAGCGGUGAAAUGCGUAGAUAUCGUCAGGAACGCCGAUGGUGAAGACAGGUGACUGGGCUAGUUCUGACACUGAGGCACGAAAGCGUGGGGAGCGAACGGGAUUAGAUACCCCGGUAGUCCACGCCCUAAACGAUGCAGACUAGACUGCAGCGGGUUACACCCCGUUGCGGUCGGAGCGAAAUUGUUAAGUCUGCCACCUGGGAAGUACGGUCGCAAGGCUA